GUGAAUUUAGAGGUCGAAAGACGACCUUCCUCUUCACCAUCUUUCUGACCUCCGAUUGGAGUUCCUCUGGCCGCUUCACCGCAGGCUCUGGCUUCCUUUUCUCCAGUCUGCGCAGGAAGUCUCUGUGAUGACCAGGUCUCACCGUCCAGAUCUGCAGGCAGCUCAGCCUUCAGAACCGUGACAGAGCCAAGUGAUUGUUGGCUCUAUAAACAUUUGUGAACCACGUGGGAUGAAUUGGAGGGAUACAGGCAUGGAUGACCUGUAAUGCUUGCCCAUAGGCUGUGCAGGGGCUGGCUGUGGUCAGGACUCAGCAGGUGAAGGUGCCUGCUGCCCAGCCUGAUGAUCCGAGUCCACUUUCUGGAAUCUCCAUGGUUGACUGCCUCCAAGAGAUCCAGUUUCUCUGUCCUUUAGACUGCCGAGAGGGGACUGGCCAUCUACCUCUCAUAGGCAAUGCUGUCCCUUUGAUCCUGCAGGCCAACAGCUCCCUCUGGUGGUCUCUAGUGGAAGUCUCGACUGUAAGGGGCUUCUGUCUCCUGGGAGGUGGAUGGAGUGGAGAAGGCGAGAUCAGCCGUGGUUCUAGUGGACUCUGCACAGCGCUCCGCACCGUUCAGAUCCCAUAUUUGCCUGAGUGGGGGAGAGGGAACUUGGGAGAGCGUCAGUGAGCCUUGUUACUGUGAUAAAAUAAAUGUCUGGCAAAAACAAAAGAAGACAGUCUUUUGGGGGUUUCAGCCUGUGAUGGGCGAGUUCCAUCGCUUCUGGACCCAUGAUGGAGGCAGCACAUCAUGGUGGAGAGGGCACGGUACAGGCGGCAGAGAUGCUCAUCUCAUUGAGGCAGGGAACAGGUAAAGGGUCCAGGAGACAAGAUGUACCCUUCAAAGGCAUGCCCUGGUGACCUAUGUCCUUCAGUUACACCCUAGCUCCUAACAGGCCAUUCAGUAUCAGAGGGCUGCUCAAUCCUUUGCCCUCAUGAACCAGGAACCUCUCACUAGCACCCCCAACUGGAGCCAAACCUUCAUUGCAUGAGCCUAUUAGGGUUACACUGGAUACACAAACAGGAACAGAGUGCAAGCCCUAAGCCCCACUGC
rnacentral:lncRNA from 1 species